UACGAAGGGGGCUAGCGUUGCUCGGAAUUAUUGGGCGUAAAGAGCUCGUAGGUGGUUUGCUGCGUCCGCUGUGAAAACCCAAGGCUUAACCUUGGGCUUGCAGUGGAUACGGGCAGACUAGAGGUAGGUAGGGGAGAAUGGAAUUCCCGGUGUAGCGGUGAAAUGCGCAGAUAUCGGGAGGAACACCGGUGGCGAAGGCGGUUCUCUGGGCCUUACCUGACACUGAGGAGCGAAAGCGUGGGGAGCGAACAGG
rnacentral:rRNA from 1 species